CAGGGAUUGCUCUAGUAACGGCGAGUGAAGCAGCAAUAGCUCAAAUUUGAAAUCUGGCGUCUUCGACGUCCGAGUUGUAAUUUGUAGAGGAUGCUUCUGAGUGGCCACCGACCUAAGUUCCUUGGAACAGGACGUCAUAGAGGGUGAGAAUCCCGUAUGCGGUCGGAAAGGCGCUCUAUACGUAGCUCCUUCGACGAGUCGAGUUGUUUGGGAAUGCAGCUCUAAAUGGGAGGUAAAUUUCUUCUAAAGCUAAAUAUUGGCCAGAGACCGAUAGCGCACAAGUAGAGUGAUCGAAAGAUGAAAAGCACUUUGGAAAGAGAGUUAAAAAGCACGUGAAAUUGUUAAAAGGGAAGGGAUUGCAACCAGACUUGCUCGCGGUGUUCCGCCGGUCUUCUGACCGGUCUACUCGCCGCGUUGCAGGCCAGCAUCGUCUGGUGCCGCUGGAUAAGACUUGAGGAAUGUAGCUCCCUCGGGAGUGUUAUAGCCUCUUGUGAUGCAGCGAGCGCCGGGCGAGGUCCGCGCUUCGGCUAGGAUGCUGGCGUAAUGGUCGUAAUCCGCCCGUCUUGAAACACGGACCAAGGAGUCUAACAUCUAUGCGAGUGUUCGGGUGUCAAACCCCUACGCGUAAUGAAAGUGAACGGAGGUGAGAACCGCAAGGUGCAUCAUCGACCGAUCCUGAUGUCUUCGGAUGGAUUUGAGUAAGAGCAUAGCUGUUGGGACCCGAAAGAUGGUGAACUAUGCCUGAAUAGGGUGAAGCCAGAGGAAACUCUGGUGGAGGCUCGCAGCGGUUCUGACGUGCAAAUCGAUCGUCAAAUUUGGGUAUAGGGGCGAAAGACUAAU
rnacentral:rRNA from 1 species